rnacentral:rRNA from 1 species
AUUGAACGCUGGCGGCAUGCCUUACACAUGCAAGUCGAACGGCAGCACAGGUGCUUGCACCUGGUGGCGAGUGGCGAACGGGUGAGUAAUACAUCGGAACAUGUCCUGUAGUGGGGGAUAGCCCGGCGAAAGCCGGAUUAAUACCGCAUACGAUCUACGGAUGAAAGCGGGGGACCUUCGGGCCUCGCGCUAUAGGGUUGGCCGAUGGCUGAUUAGCUAGUUGGGGGGGUAAAGGCCUACCAAGGCGACGAUCAGCAGCUGGUCUGAGAGGACGACCAGCCACACUGGGACUGAGACACGGCCCAGACUCCUACGGGAGGCAGCAGUGGGGAAUUUUGGACAAAGGGCGAAAGCCUGAUCCAGCAAUGCCGCGUGUGUGAAGAAGGCCUUCGGGUUGUAAAGCACUUUUGUCCGGAAAGAAAUCCUUGGCCCUAAUACGGUCGGGGGAUGACGGUACCGGAAGAAUAAGCACCGGCUAACUACGUG